rnacentral:misc_RNA from 1 species
UGUAGGAGCGAGCCUGCUCGCGAUGACUGAGUGUCAGUCGACAUCGAUGCUGGAUGUCGGAUCGCAAUCGCGAGCAGGCUCGCUCCCACA